GACGAACGCUGGCGGCGUGCCUAAUACAUGCAAGUCGAACGCAGUGGGGACGGGUGAGUAACACGUGGGUAACCACCCAUCCGAGGGGAUAACACAUGGAAAAAGGUGCUAAACCGAUACUGAUGGAUGGACCCGCGGUGCAUUAGCUAGUUGGAGAGGUAACGGCUAACGAAGGCAACGAUUCAUAGACGACCGUAGAGUGUGUUCGGCCACACUGGGACUCAGACACGGCCCAUACUCCUACGGGAGGCAGCAGUAGGGAAUCUGCGGCAAUGGACGAAAGCCGUACCGAGCAACGCCGCGUGAUUGAAGAAGGUUGUCGGAUCGUAAAACUCUGUUGUUAGAGAAGCGGUAUCUAACCAGAAAGCCACGGCUAACUACGUGCCAGCAGCCGCGGUAAUUC
rnacentral:rRNA from 1 species